AUGGAAGCUAUCACCAAGCGACUAUUAAACCGUUACUCACACUGCACACGUAUAGCUCCCGUUCGAUCACACAACAAUCGCCAGCUACCUCCGCUUCGCCAAGUCCGAGCUCCCUCCUAUCUCCUUUCGCCGAACUCUCCACGGCCGCUCACCAACAUCCCUCCGACGAAUCCGCACCACCUCAACACCGACGCCGUCGCAACCGUCCAGCUUGGACUCAGGCCAUGGAAUCGCCUCCGCCGUCUACCCCGUUGCAACAACCUACCUCAGAAACUAAUCACUUAUUGUAGUGAUGUAAUACAAUGUGGUUUAGUUAUUUAG